CCUACGGGAGGCAGCAGUGGGGAAUAUUGGUCAAUGGACGAGAGUCUGAACCAGCCAAGUAGCGUGAAGGAUGACUGCCCUAUGGGUUGUAAACUUCUUUUAUAUGGGAAUAAAAUGUUCCACGUGUGGGAUUUUGUAUGUACCAUAUGAAUAAGGAUCGGCUAACUCCGAGCCAGCAGCCGCGGUAAUACGGAGGAUCCGAGCGUUAUCCGGAUUUAUUGGGUUUAAAGGGAGCGUAGGUGGAUUUUUAAGUCAGUUGUGAAAGUUUGCGGCUCAACCGUAAAAUUGCAGUUGAAACUGGCAGUCUGGAGUACAGUAGAGGUGGGCGGAAUUCGUGGUGUAGCGGUGAAAUGCUUAGAUAUCACGAAGAACUCCGAUUGCGAAGGCAGCUCACUGGACUGCAACUGACACUGAGGCUCGAAAGUGUGGGUAUCAAACAGGAUUAGAUACCCGAGUAGUC
rnacentral:rRNA from 1 species